rnacentral:rRNA from 1 species
UGACGGUAUCAUAUGAAUAAGCACCGGCUAACUCCGUGCCAGCAGCCGCGGUAAUACGGGGGGUGCAAGCGUUACUCGGAAUCACUGGGCGUAAAGAGCAUGUAGGCGGGUAAAUAAGUUGGAAGUGAAAUCCUAUAGCUUAACUAUAGAACUGCUUCCAAAACUGUUCACCUAGAGUAUGGGAGAGGUAGAUGGAAUUUCUGGUGUAGGGGUAAAAUCCGUAGAGAUCAGAAGGAAUACCGAUUGCGAAGGCGAUCUACUGGAACAUUACUGACGCUCAGAUGCGAAAGCGUGGGGAGCAAACAGGAUUAGAUACCCUGGUAGUCCACGCCCUAAACGAUGUACACUAGUUGUUGCUAUACUAGAUAUGGCAGUAAUGCAGUUAACACUUUAGGUGUACCGCCUGGGGAGUACGGUCGCAAGAUUAAAACUCAAAGGAAUAGACGGGGACCCGCACAAGCGGUGGAGCAUGUGGUUUAAUUCGACGAUACGCGAAAAACCUUACCUGGCCUUGACAUAGUAGGAAUCUUUAAGAGAUUAGAGAGUGCUAGCUUGCUAGAACCUACAUACAGGUGCUGCACGGCUGUCGUCAGC